GGCCCUUUAGCUCAGUUGGUUAGAGCAGUCGACUCAUAAUCGAUUGGUCGCUUGUUCAAGUCCAGCAAGGGCCAGCA
rnacentral:tRNA from 1 species